CCCCUCCAUCCCCCUUCUUUUAAUUACACCCCAUACAUUCACCAAACACACACAUUCACACAGGGGAUCGGGAAGUGCCUCACCAUUGGGGAAUGGAGAGGCACCAUAACAGGGUGGUGGGUUGGUACACAUAUUUGGGCCUCUCCGGUGGGGGCCUGGCCCCUCUGUAGGUGGCUGGGCCACUGCAUAGAGUAAAAGUACAUCAGGAUGGUGCGGUCGGGCGUGGCGGUGGGUCUCGGGGGGGCUUUGCCGGGGUCUCUCCUUGCGGGGUCUUUCCGGGCGGUGUCGGCCUGGUGGGGCGCGGGGGUGCCUCUCCCCCUUGGGUGUGGCUUGGUGCUUGUUUCGUCUCCUGGUGGCCUUGGGGGCGGGCCCCGCGGUGUGCGGGCCCGGGGCGGCCUGCCUCGCCGGUUUGGGGGGUGGGUGUGCUGGUGUCCUCACCGGGGUUGGGGCAGGGUUGUUUGGCGCCUUGGGAUGAUGCUGUUUACUGGGGGGGCGGCGCUAGCUGUUCCGGUGGUUGAGGUUGCUUUCGGCCGCCUGGUGGGUAUGUCCUGCCAUCUGCGGACUGGUGGGUGGGUCCGGGGCAUCUUUGGCUGGGGGCUGCUGUCCCGCGCUGGAUGUGUGCCGUUGGGGUGCCUCCGUCCCCGCGGUGGGGGUCGCCGGUUGCUCGCGGGCCGGCGGGGAGCGCUGCCCCGUGGUUUGCGCCGUCCGGGGGGCGGCGGGCCCUGGGCUGCUGGCCUUGUACCGUCUGGGGCUGUGCGGUCCUGCUGGGCUGUGGCCGGGUCCUGGGCCGGGGUGGGGGGCUUGCCCUUGGGGGGUCCUGGUCCCGGGGGGUGCUCCUGGGGCCCGGGGUGCUUGGCUGGCUGGCCGGGCCGGUCCUGGCGGGGGUCUUCCGGGGCGGGUGGCGCGUGCCGCGCCCUUGCAUACCUUCUGGUGCGGCCCCUGCUUGGGCAAUCCCCCGUGAGGCAGGGUGUCGGGGCCAGAAUAGGGGGCCACAUCCCGGCGGGGCGGUCUGGCUUGGCCUCUGGAGGGGGCCCUGGCUUUAAAGAACUGAAGCUCGUGGCGCAGGCGGCAUCAGCAAAGGGCGAUCUGGGGCGCCGGGGGGGGCUAGGUUGGGGUGCCUGGGGGCCGGCGGUGGGACUCCCGGCUGCUUGGCCGUGGGGUGGUCGCCGGGGGCCCCUAGAUUUCCCGCUCUUUCUGCUGGCCCGACUGCUUCUUCGGGCCCGGGGGCGGCUCGUGGGUUUUGCAGUGGCGGUUCUUGGAAAUACAUUUGUCAUGGACGCACUGGCCUUGGGCUGUGGGAUAACACUCAUACUGGGCUCAACCAUAGACACGUUGUUCCCAAAUACCUGUUUUAUGGAAUUUCCACUCACUUCCUCCUCUGCUCACAGCCACCACCAUUAUUCCUAAGCCGCACACUGGUCACCAGACUGGCUUGAUAACACAACAAUAAGCACAAUAUACACAACCACAAUUUCACAUCGCAUCACUUGAAACUUAUUGACUGUUCCCCACCCAUUCGUUUUCCUAUCUUGUAUCCCUCCUCCCUGUUAACUCCCCCCCCACCCCCCUCACCCUGGUGUAACACUGCCCUCUCUUUUUUACAUCCUCCCUUUAAUAAAGUAUUUACCCUUCCCUAGGGAGGGCUGGUGAUGGUCACAAUUAUGCAAUGAAAUAAAUUCAUUUAUUUAAUUGCAAUAAUAAAAUAUGCAUUGCUGUUAAAAGAUUGCACUUCUUGUAGUGUUAACCUUCAACAGCAUGUGCAGACAAGGUGAAAAAAAAAAAAAAAAAAAAAAAAAAA
ensembl:lncRNA